GGAUUAGAUACCCUGGUAGUCCACGCCGUAAACGAUGGAUACUAGGUGUUGCGGGUAACCACUCCUGCAGUGCCGCAGCUAACGCAUUAAGUAUCCCGCCUGGGGAGUACGGCCGCAAGGCUAAAACUCAAAGGAAUUGACGGGGGCCCGCACAAGCGGUGGAGCAUGUGGUUUAAUUCGACGCAACGCGAAGAACCUUACCUGGGUUUGACAUCCCGAUCGUACUUUCUGGAAACAGUUAGGUCAGUUCGGCUGGAUCGGUGACAGGUGCUGCAUGGCUGUCGUCAGCUCGUGCCG
rnacentral:rRNA from 1 species